rnacentral:misc_RNA from 1 species
GAUGAAGAACGUAGCGAAAUGCGAUAAGUAAUGUGAAUUGCAGAAUUCAGUGAAUCAUCGAAUCUUUGAACGCACAUUGCGCCCGCCAGUAUUCUGGCGGGCAUGCCUGUUCGAGCGUCAUUUCAACCAUCAAGCCCCCGGCUUGUGUUGGGGACCUGCGGCUGCCGCAGGCCCUGAAAACCAGUGGCGGGCUCGCUAGUCACUCCGAGCGUAGUAAUACAUCUCGCUCAGGGCGUGCUGCGGGUUCCGGCCGUUAAAAGCCUUAUUUACCCAAGGUUGACCUCGGAUCAGGUAGGAAGACCCGCUGAACUUAAGCAUAUCAAAUAAGCGGAGGA